rnacentral:rRNA from 1 species
AGGUUAAGUUAUGAAGGGCGCACGGUGGAUGCCUUGGCACUAGGAGCCGAUGAAGGACGGUACUAACACCGAUAUGCUUCGGGGAGCUGUAAGUAAGCAUUGAUCCGAAGAUUUCCGAAUGGGGAA